UACCGUGAGGGAAAGUUGGAAAGAACUUUGAAGAGAGAGUUCAAGAGUACGUGAAACCGUUCAGGGGUAAACGGAAAAGACCUGAAUAUCCGAAAGGGGAGAUUCACGUCUUACCAGUUGCUCAACUUUUAAAUGAUUUGAGAUGGCCUCUCGCCCUAUUCAGUGUAACAGCUGUGGUAGUGGGUUUGGUCGCUCGCAUUUAAAUUGGAAGGGUAAUGGUGGACCGCACUUCUCCCUUAGUAGGACGUUGCGACCUGUCAAAUAAUAUCCUAAGUAUUUGGCUAAUUUGUCUGUUUUUAGGCAGUACUGAAAGGUAUUUCCUUUAACAGUUUUAGCCGUUUACAUACUGGAUAUAAUUGACAGUAACGAAUCUUGGUGUUGAGCCACUUACUUUGUAAGUGUCCUUUAUGGCUGUUUGCAAGUGGGUUGGUUAAUUAGUUUUAGUCGGAUUUUGGUCCGUCUAACUAUUCCGCCUACUGUUGGUAAACUGUUCCUUGGACAGUGCUUAUAACACCGGU
rnacentral:rRNA from 1 species